rnacentral:tRNA from 1 species
GCGGAUAUGGCGGAACUGGUAGACGCACUGGAUUUAGGUUCCAGCGCCGCAAGGCGUGGGGGUUCGACUCCCUCUAUCCGCA